UGUGAUGAAGGAUAUGAAGGGACUUAUUGCAACAAAACCUGCGAAAACGGAACAUUUGGACACAACUGCCUGGAGACGUGCAACAGCACUUGUUAUGGCUGUAACAGAACAAAUGGUAAAUGUGAAACUGGGUGUCAUCCAGGAUGGAAAGGAGAUUAUUGUCAUGAAGCAUGCAUAGACGGAUUCUUUGGAGAAAAUUGUGUCAGCAUAUGUAAUACAACAUGUAAGGGAUGUAAUAGAACAAAUGG